rnacentral:rRNA from 1 species
GAUGAACGCUGGCGGCGUGCCUAAUACAUGCAAGUCGAGCGAACAGAUGAGGAGCUUGCUCCUCUGACGUUAGCGGCGGACGGGUGAGUAACACGUGGAUAACCUACCUAUAAGACUGGGAUAACUUCGGGAAACCGGAGCUAAUACCGGAUAAUAUAUUGAACCGCAUGGUUCAAUAGUGAAAGACGGUUUUGCUGUCACUUAUAGAUGGAUCCGCGCCGCAUUAGCUAGUUGGUAAGGUAACGGCUUACCAAGGCAACGAUGCGUAGCCGACCUGAGAGGGUGAUCGGCCACACUGGAACUGAGACACGGUCCAGACUCCGACGGGAGGCAGCAGUAGGGAAUCUUCCGCAAUGGGCGAAAGCCUGAAGGAGCAACGCCGCGUGAGUGAUGAAGGUCUUCGGAUCGUAAAACUCUGUUAAUAGGGAAGAACAAAUGUGUAAGUAACUAUGCACGUCUUGACGGUACCUAAUCAGAAAGCCACGGCUAACUACGUG